GACGACCUAACUCAGUGGAAGAGCACAGGGCUAUGCCGUGAGGAUGCUGGUUUAAACCCAACCGUCGCCA